UCAGGCCUAACACAUGCAAGUCGAGCGGGGUUUUCGGACCUAGCGGCGGACGGGUGAGUAAUGCGUAGGAAGCUACCCGAUAGAGGGGGAUACCAGUUGGAAACGACUGUUAAUACCGCAUAAUGUCUACGGACCAAAGUGUGGGACCUUCGGGCCACAUGCUAUCGGAUGCGCCUACGUGGGAUUAGCUAGUUGGUGAGGUAAUGGCUCACCAAGGCGACGAUCCCUGGCUGGUUUGAGAGGAUGAUCAGCCACACUGGAACUGAGACACGGUCCAGACUCCUACGGGAGGCAGCAGUGGGGAAUAUUGGACAAUGGGCGCAAGCCUGAUCCAAAGAUGCCGCGUGUGUGAAGAAGGCCUUCGGGUUUAUAUAAGAGUCAGUAGGGAGGAAGCGUUGAGUGUUAAU
rnacentral:rRNA from 1 species